GGGGCGAUUCUACCCUCGAAACACCGAAUCCCUCCCCGCUUCCCCUCGCUCGUAGGGGUUCGUCUCCUAAGCUGCAAUACUCCAAUGCUUCACUCACUCGCACAGCUAAAACCGCCGGCGGUACUCGAAAGCCAAAAGCUUCAAAAGACCGGUAUCGCCCUCAUCAAAUUACUUAAUCUCCGGUAAGUCCUCCACCACCUCUUCUCACUCUUCGAAGAUUACACAACUCAAUGAACUGCUUCUGCUCGAUUCAUUCCGUUUCCCCCAAUUUAGUCCCUCCAGUUUAAUGGGCAUCCCUCAAUUUUUUAAUACAAAGCAUCUAAAUUUAUUUUUGCUUUCAAUUCCUGCUGUAUUAUUGGGUUUAUCGGAUUUGAUAAGUGCUGCAAAGUUACAGAGAUAAUGGGUACCAGUCAUGAACUGUAUAUAUCUGUUUGGUCCAAGGGUUAUUCGAAAAAUUUCGUGUUAUGUUGUCGUAGUACGAAAGUUAAGUGACGGGUGCUUUCGCGGCGAUAAGGGGGAUAAUGGGUAUGAGGUUGUGGAGGAAACCUUGAAGACAAUGUGGAAAAGUUCGGAAUUUGAUUCGGGUUUGGAUGAGAAACAUGGUGUUUAUGAAUCUGAGAACCGUCCCCGGGAACAUUUCUCGCUGCGACGGAACUUUUUUGAGAAUGCGAAGAUGGAUACGGCGAGGGUUCUUAAGGUUCUUAGAGAAGAUGGACCUGGUUUUGAUACUAAAGCAGCUUUGGGUGAGUUGCAUAUAGAGGUUUCAGGGCUUCUUGUGAGGGAAGUUCUGUUUGAGAUUUUGAAACAGAUAGAUUAUGGGAGUAAAAUGCGGUGUGCGAAGUUGGGGUAUAAGUUUUUUGUGUGGUCUGGUCAGCUUGAAAAUUACAAGCACACAGCAAACACAUAUCAUUUAAUGAUGAAGAUAUUUGCUGAUUGUGAAGAGUUUAAAGCAAUGUGGAGGUUAGUUGAUGAGAUGACUGAGAAAGGGUAUCCGACUACAGCACAGACGUUCAACAUUUUGAUACGCACUUGUGGUGAGGCAGGCUUGGCUAGGAAAGUCGUGGAAAGGUUCAUCAAAUCGAAGACAUUUAAUUAUAGGCCAUUUAAACACUCGUACAAUGCGAUUUUGCAUUCCCUUCUUGUGGUGAAGCAGUACAAGUUGAUUGAGUGGGUCUAUCAACAGAUGUUGGCGGAGGGUCACUCAGCAGAUAUUCUAACUUAUAACGUGAUGAUGUGUGCAAAAUAUAGAUUGGGGAAGUUGGAUCAGUUUCACAGACUGCUUGAUGAAAUGGGUAGGAGUGGAUUCACUCCAGAUUUUCAUACUUACAAUAUUCUUCUUCAUGUACUUGGUAAGGGAGACAAACCGCUUGCAGCUCUUAAUCUUUUGAAUCACAUGAAGGAAGAGGGUUUCAAACCAAGUGUUCUUCACUUCACAACGUUGAUAGAUGGACUGAGCAGGGCUGGAAAUAUGGAUGCCUGCAAAUAUUUUUUUGAUGAGAUGACAAAGCACGAGUGCAUGCCGGAUGUUGUUUGUUACACUGUAAUGAUCACCGGGUAUAUUGUGGCUGGGGAGCUUGAGAAGGCCCAAGUAGUGUUUGAUGAGAUGAUCCCUAAUGGGCAGCUUCCGAAUGUAUUUACAUACAAUGCCAUGAUUCGUGGACUUUGUAUGGCAAGAAAGUUUGAGGAAGCAUGCUCCAUGCUCAAGGUUAUGGAAUCUAGAGGUUGUAACCCGAAUUUCACUGUGUACAGCACCCUUGUAAGUUAUUUGCGAAAUGCUGGAAAGCUUGCUGAAGCUCAUGAAGUAAUAACACGCAUGACGGAGAAAGGGCAGUAUACCCAUCUACUUUCGAAGUUCAAGGGAUAUAGGAGAUGUUAAAGUGGUAAAAAUUAAUUCAUUCAGCUCGGUUAACAAUAUGUAGCUCCAGGGUUUAUCAGUUAUGCAAUGUACCCACACCUUGUAUCAGUUGUCUCUCGAGGAGAAAAGUAAAACUAGAUUCUCAUGCUUGGAAACUGUAGCACCGUUCUGCUGGUAAGCAGUGAGAACCGAAGGCAAGGAUCGACAGGGAGAACUGAAGUUUUAUCUGCAGAUUUUCAUGGCUGGUACGUAUCGCUUAAGUUUGCGGUGUCAACACAUAAAUUAAAAGGUUGUUGAACCAUGUAAUCUAAAUUUGUGAAAAUACAGAUUUAUAGUUACAACAACUGUAACUAAUAUGCUGAACUGGAAGCUUAAGCUAACAUAGUUUAUACCUUAAAUUGGGGUGUAAUCCGAAAUGGUGUAGCAAUACCUCGUACAAUUCCGCCAUGGCAA